GAAUAUUGCGCAAUGGGCGAAAGCCUGACGCAGCGACGCCGCGUGGGUGAUGAAGGCCUUCGGGUCGUAAAACCCUGUCGGGUGGAACGAAUCCUCCGCGGAAUAAUACUUCGCGGGGUUGACGGUACCACCGAAGGAAGCCCCGGCUAACUACGUGCCAGCAGCCGCGGUAAUACGUAGGGGGCAAGCGUUGUCCGGAUUUAUUGGGCGUAAAGAGCGUGUAGGCGGCCGCACAGGUCCGUUGUGAAAACUGGAGGCUUAACCUUCAGACGUCGAUGGAAACCGUGCGGCUAGAGUCCGGAAGAGGAGAAUGGAAUUCCUGGUGUAGCGGUGAAAUGCGCAGAUAUCAGGAAGAACACCCGUGGCUAAGGCGGUUCUCUAGUACGGUACUGACGCUGAGACGCGAAAGCGUGGGGAGCGAAC
rnacentral:rRNA from 1 species